rnacentral:lncRNA from 10 species
GCCUCACUCUGCCUGGCACACACAGCAGAACGAAAGAAAAAUGGAAAUGAAGGUUUAUAUCCCAAGAUAUAAAUACAUAAAACAAACGAGUGUGUUCUGAGUGAUUAGCUUGAUAAUUGCAGACAGUGCGUCAGCCUUCCUGUGGUCUCCUGAGGACAGUUCGGUAGCUAAAAAUCUCCCAGCGUUGUCAAAACUUCCCCUCGAGAAGCCAAGUUCCAAGCCAUCCGCAAAAUGAUCACUCAGCAUCCACCGGACAGAUUGGUGGGGGCCGGUGGGGGGAGGAGGAAGGAGGAAGCAAAGAGACAACACCAGCACCACUCACUGGCUCUCUCACUCUCCGCAUUCAACAAGUCCGGAAGGAUUUGGUUGCCUGGUACAAAGCCUUUCAGGGAGAAAGUUUGAAAGGCCUUUGGAAAUGUUUAGAAGCUCUUCUAAGAUGGCAUUUUAAAAAUUACUUAUUUGGAUAAAAUAUGGCAUUUCAUAGUUCCAUUUUGAACAUAUUUGGAAUAAGUAAAGACAAAAAAGAAAGAAAAGAAACAGGAAUUUGGAUUCUCAGGGGAAGUGGACCGAGAUGCUCACCCUUCCCUGCUUCAGUGAGGCCUGGGGAGCCAUCAGGGGCCUGUGGACAUCGUUCUGGAUGAGUUUUGUUCAUUUUGCACGAGGUCUAAAAACAAAAGCAAAACAAUUGUGCUUUGAACCUGAAGGCAGCUCCUAUUUCUUUCUGUGCCGCUCCUCCCUCCUGCGUCCUGGAUCUGAGUGUGGGUUUCAUCUGCGGCUUAGCAGUGGCGCAUGCUGAGCGCGUCCUUUCAUCCGUCUGACCCUCAGUAUGCUCAGCUGUCUAGUGGGGAUGGUGAGAGCCCUGGCUCGCAGCUCAGAGACUGCUAUAGAACGGAAUGCGGUGAGGUUUGUGAAGCCGUCACUCAGAGCCAUGGCCAGCCACUUCUUAGCUGGGAUUACAGCUCCGGCAGUCUUGCCACUUCUGGUAACUGAUUGUGGAAUUGACCUUCAGAAGAAGACGUAUGGAGGGAAAGGGAACACAGAGGAGACACAACCCAAAACAGAAAUGUGAAAAUACGCCUCAGUUUUCUGUUGCAAUUAUUAGCGCAAUAGCUCAUACUGAGCCUCUGCCUCAAACUACAAAGCACUGUAACCCAUUAUCUCGGGCAUGUGUGUGCGUACAUGCACAAUCAUUCCUACUUUAUACACCAGGACACUCAGACUCAGAGAGGUGAACUUACUUGCCUGAGGAUCCACAGCUAGCUGGUUGAAUUGUACCUUAGACGCCAGCUUUCCCGGCUCCUUACUCCCGCCGAUCCCAGGACACCCCUGACAAGGGUGGCAGUCUGAUUUCCUGAAGACAGGAGCUCAGAGGAAGAUUAGUUUGCUUUAAAGGGGAAAAAAAAAGAAGCUGACAGUUUGGGGGCACUGGCAUUUUGGCUGCAGAUUUAUACAUGCGGCACAAGCCCUCAGGGAAUCGGCUUAGAAAUCCAAGGCGCAUUUGUCAGUUAAAUCCAAAGGGAGAGGAGAAAGAUCUUAGUCCCUGCCCUAGCGGUGCUCUGUGUGUUGUAGGAAAGGAAAGAUGUGGUCAUGGAGGCAACAGGGGAGCAGGGGACAGGGUGGGGUGGCGCCAAGACGGGCUGUCCUGAGAUGGAGGUGAGUGAGUGGUGGGUGGGACCCCGGGAGGCCAGGCUGUCUGCAGCUGGUGGCGCAGGCCUGAACUGGGCCAGAUGAGAGGAGAGCGCUGGAGACGGCUGCGGAGGGCCAGGCAGGCCCCCAGCCAGAAGUGGGGGCCUCUGCUUGGGCGGCAGCUCCCCCUCCCUUCCUCGUGGUUGGCUGCUGAAGUUCCAUGGCAACCCUCCUAGCCUGCACACGAUCCCCUGUGGGUGCAGCAAAAAACCUUAAGGAACUUUGGCUCAAUGAGAUCCUUAUUCACAGCUCAGAAGUCAAAACUUGAGUUUUGAGAGGGAUUGGGAGGAAGAGCUGCACUUUUAGACUCACUUGUCCUUACCUUGAAUUUCUUUCCAAGGUUGGCAGGUGGAGGCCAAUGGGGUGAUUCUGACCCGAUAUGAUAUUGUGCGCGAUCAGCCUGCCAGUCAACCACAGGCUCCCACAGCCCUGAGGUUGGAGCUUCAGAGAGAAGCAAUUUUGACAAACCAGGGCUGAAGGAGUGGAAUGUAUUUUGGUUGGAAUCCAUGACUUUUUAUUACCACCGAUUAAACAGGAAACAAACAUUUUGAGCAGGUUCCAAUCCUCAGCUGAAUGUGGCUGCGCCAUCCAUGUAUGGGGACACUCGGUCUCCAGCCAUUCUACCGGGACACGGGAGGGCCCUGGGAGGCACCCACCUGCCUCAGUGUUCCAGUUACUAAAAAUGAGACUGGAUUUUAAGGCAGUGGAUCUGGCCUGGCUUUCUGUGUCCAGGGUGGGCUGGAACUGGAUCUGAUUAGGUGGGUCUAGGCACUGACAGCACCUGAUUUGGUGUGCACCUGCUGAGGACGUGUGCAGGUGGGGAAGGAGGGGCCCACAUGGAAGAGGGGUGCAUGAUGCAUGAGCUGAAAGGCGGCAUGUGGAGGCUGAAGCCCAGUGGGCUGAGGAUUCUGCAGUGGGGUGGCCUGAUGAAGUGGGCACUCUGAAGUGUGUCCACCUGCCGUGACCUGCUAAAGCACAGUGGACCCACUGCCUCGGUGGACACCUUGAAGCAUUGCUGUUCUGAAGGCACCUUGGCCUAACCAGAUGAUGACAGGGCCCACCCCAGGGGCCCCUGAGGCCCUGUGGUCACCCCUAACAAGGACGCUUGGGCUGAUUAUUUUCAUGAAGUGUCGGGAUGGGCACUGCUUCUCCUGCUGGACUUGAGGUGGUUGGGAAGGGUUUCCCCUAAUGUUCUGCCUGAAAUGCCCCAGCCAGAUGUAACACCUGCCUCCCUAACUCUCUCUUCCUACUCCCAUCCCUUGCUCCUUCCACUUGUGUAACUACAGUAUAGGGUGGCAUAAGCAAAGUCUUCCUAGAGGAUGGACACCUUUGAGAUGGCAACUAUAUCUUCUUUAUAAGCCUACACCCUUCUGUGUAGAGCUUAUUCCACACAUCCAUCCACCCACCUCCCCACCUACCCAUCCAUCCAUCCAUCUGCACAUUCAUACAUUCAUCUGUCUGUCAUCAAUCCAUCCAUCCAUCCAACAAAUGUAAAUUAUGCACCUACCAUAUGCCAAGCACUGGGCUUGGUACUGAGAGUGAAAGAACAUAAAUGGACCCUGCUAGAACCCCAGUGCCUGGUACACAGUAGAUGCUCAGAUAUGUUCACUGAAUAAAUGCAUGACAAAAUCCCCAUCUUCAUGCUAUAGCUCACAAAGAAUUGGAAAAAGGAGGGCUUUGGAAUUUUGGGAGCAGUCACUUGUCCAGCUCACAUGGACUGCCUCUGGAGGCCCCUUUUUUGGUGGAACCAACAGGAGAAAAGAGGCUGCACCUCUGAGACCAUGACCAAGUUCCGUGAAACAAUGAAGCCAGCAGUAAGGCAUUUCCCUUGCCACCCGUCCAGCUGCCAGAGCGUGGCUGAGACUCGAGAGUUUAGAAUAAUGAAUUUCAUCCCCACUGUGCUGGUGACAGACAGAGCCGGAGAUCUCAGGAAAGUACAUGUGAGGCUGAGAGUGGAGGUGGGCAGAUUUCCAGGGGUGAGUGAGACAAAGGAGAGGUCUGUGUGAGGGGCCGCCCCUGAGGGAAGUGAAUAACAUCCUUGGCAGUGAUUAGCUAACCACAUCAAGCUGGGAGGAAGAGGGAGUGGGGAGGCCUUCUGCCUGCGGGCAGAGUAGCUCCCAUCUUCCACCUGUGGCAAGCCCAAUUACAUUGUCUUCAGAGCCAGGAAAAAGCUGGAAUGUUUCCCUAAUGAAAAUGCUUUUGCUAUAUUCAUGCAUGAAUACAGACAUGCACAUGUCCCUGGCUUUGUGUGUGUGUGUGUGUGUGUGUGUGUACACGAAUGUGUGUCUGUAGAAACAGUGUGGCAGGCCGGGUGCGG